rnacentral:rRNA from 1 species
GGUGGAUGCCUUGACUGUAAGAGGCGAUGAAGGACGUAUUAGGCUGCGAUAAGCCUCGGGGAGCUGCCAAAGAGCUUUGAUCCGAGGAUUUCCGAAUGGGGCAACCCAGCAUAUAGAGAUAUAUGUUACCCUACGGGGAGCGAACCUGGUGAAGUGAAACAUCUCAGUAGCCAGAGGAAGAGAAAUCAAAUGAGAUUCCCAUAGUAGCGGCGAGCGAACUGGGAUUAGGACAAACCCAAUGCUUGCAUUGGGGGUUGUAGGACUAUAAUGUGUAAUUAAAGAGAAUAGAUGAAUUAGUUGGAAAACUAGAGCAUAGAAGGUGAUACUCCUGUAAUUAAAAUUCUCAAUAAUACUAAUAGUAUCCUGAGUAGGUCGGAACACGUGAUAUUUUGACUGAAGCUGGGGGACCACCUCCAAUCCUAAAUACUACUUACAGAUCGAUAGUGAACAAGUACCGUGAGG